UACGGGGGGGGCAAGCGUUGUUCGGAAUUACUGGGCGUAAAGGGCGCGUAGGCGGCUCGCUAAGUCGGGUGUGAAAACUCUGGGCUCAACCCAGAGCCUGCAUUCGAAACUGACGAGCUAGAGUUCUGGAGGGGAAAGCGGAAUUCCUGGUGUAGCGGUGAAAUGCGUAGAUAUCAGGAGGAACACCGGUGGCGAAGGCGGUUUUCUGGACAGAAACUGACGCUGAGGCGCGAAAGCUAGGGGAGCAAACAGG
rnacentral:rRNA from 1 species